rnacentral:rRNA from 1 species
UACGUAGGGGGCAAGCGUUGUUCGGAAUUACUGGGCGUAAAGGGCGCGUAGGCGGCACGGCAAGUCGGGAGUGAAAGGCCUGGGCUCAACCGAGGAACUGCUUUCGAGACUGCCGAGCUAGAGUGCGGAAGGGGCAACCGGAAUUCCCAGUGUAGCGGUGAAAUGCGUAGAUAUUGGGAAGAACACCUGAGGCGAAGGCGGGUUGCUGGGCCGACACUGACGCUGAGGCGCGAAAGCCAGGGGAGCAAACGGG